GAUGAACGCUGGCGGCGUGCCUAAUACAUGCAAGUCGAGCGAACAGACGAGGAGCUUGCUCCUCUGACGUUAGCGGCGGACGGGUGAGUAACACGUGGAUAACCUACCUAUAAGACUGGGAUAACUUCGGGAAACCGGAGCUAAUACCGGAUAAUAUAUUGAACCGCAUGGUUCAAUAGUGAAAGACGGUUUUGCUGUCACUUAUAGAUGGAUCCGCGCCGCAUUAGCUAGUUGGUAAGGUAACGGCUUACCAAGGCAACGAUGCGUAGCCGACCUGAGAGGGUGAUCGUCCACACUGGAACUGAGACACGGUCCAGACUCCUACGGGAGGCAGCAGUAGGCAAUCUUCCGCAAUGGGCGAAAGCUUGACGGAGCAACGCCGCUUGAGUGAUGAAGGUCUUCGGAUCGUAAAACUCUGUUAUUAGGGAAGAACAAAUGUGUAAGUAACUAUGCACGUCUUGACGGUACCUAAUCAGAAAGCCACGGCUAACUACGUG
rnacentral:rRNA from 1 species